rnacentral:rRNA from 1 species
AGCAGUCGCCGCGGGAAUACAGAGGGUGCGAGCGUUAAUCGGAUUUACUGGGCGUAAAGCGUGCGUAGGCGGCUAAUUGAGUCGGAUGUGAAAUCCCCGAGCUUAACUUGGGAAUUGCAUUCGAUACUGGUUAGCUAGAGUGUGGGAGAGGAUGGUAGAAUUCCAGGUGUAGCGGUGAAAUGCGUAGAGAUCUGGAGGAAUACCGAUGGCGAAGGCAGCCAUCUGGCCUAACACUGACGCUGAGGUACGAAAGCAUGGGGAGCAAACAGGAUUAGAUACCCCGGUAGUCCCUGUCUCUUAUAC